rnacentral:tRNA from 1 species
UGCCCGAUGGUUCAGCUUGAUAGAAUGUCUGCCUACGGAGCGAGAUGGUCGUAGGUUCGAAUCCUGCAUCGGGUAG